rnacentral:rRNA from 1 species
AACGAACGCUGGCGGCAUGCCUAACACAUGCAAGUCGAACGAGAACUUCGGGUCUAGUGGCGCACGGGUGUGUAACGCGUGGGAACCUGCACUUAGGUUCGGAAUAACUCCCCGAAAGGGGUGCUAUUACCGGAUAAUGUCUUCGGACCAAAGAUUUAUCGCCUUUGGAUGGGCCCGCGUUGGAUUAGCUAGUUGGUAGGGUAAAAGCCUACCAAGGCGACGAUCCAUAGCUGGUCUGAGAGGAUGAUCAGCCACACUGGGACUGAGACACGGCCCAGACUCCUACGGGAGGCAGCAGUGGGGAAUAUUGGACAAUGGGCGAAAGCCUGAUCCAGCAAUGCCGCGUGAGUGAUGAAGGCCUUAGGGUUGUAAAGCUCUUUUACCCGGGAUGAUAAUGACGGUACCGGAAGAAUAAGCUCCGGCUAACUCCGUG